UUUUUUUUUUUUUUUUUUUUCUAAUUUUUGGUUGGUGGCGGCGGUGCUGGGCCAGGGGAAGGAAGGGACACGGAGGCCGCCCUCGCCCCGCCACCUCCUACCAGCUUCCCCCCAGCCCCGGCUCCGGGAGAUGUGCCGGGCGGGGGGCCCGGGUUCGCCGAGCCGCAGGAGAGACACGCUGGGCCGACCCCAGAGCGGCGCUGGACAGCUUGUCAGCUCAUUUGCAGCUUACAUUUUUGGUUUCUUCCACAAAAAUGAUAAGCCAUCACCAAACUCAGAAAAUGAACAAAAUUCUGUUACCCUGGAAGUCCUGCUUGUGAAAGUUUGCCACAAAAAAAGAAAGGAUGUAUGUUGUCCAAUAAGGCAAGUUCCCACAGGUAAAAAGCAGGUGCCUUUGAAUCCUGACCUCAAUCAAACAAAACCUGGAAAUUUCCCGUCCCUUGCAGUUUCCAGUAAUGAAUUUGAACCUAGUAACAGCCACAUGGUGAAGUCUUACUCGUUGCUAUUUAGAGUGACUCGUCCAAGAAGAAGAGAGUUUAAUGGAAUGAUUAAUGGAGAAACCAUGAAAAUAUUGAUGUCAGUGAAGAGCUUCCAGCCAGAAGAAAAUGAAAUCGUGAGGAUGGGGAAAAGACAUUUGUUGCACAAAUGACAGUAUUUGAUAAAAACAGGUAAUGUUGAUGAACAAGCG
rnacentral:lncRNA from 1 species